rnacentral:rRNA from 1 species
UACGAAGGGUGCAAGCGUUACUCGGAAUUACUGGGCGUAAAGCGUGCGUAGGCGGUUUGUUAAGUCCGUUGUGAAAGCCCUGGGCUCAACCUGGGAAUUGCAGUGGAUACUGGCGAGCUAGAGUGCGGUAGAGGAUGGUGGAAUUCCCGGUGUAGCGGUGAAAUGCGUAGAUAUCAGGAGGAACACCUGUGGCGAAAAGCGGCUCACUGGACCAUAACUGACGCUGAUGCACGAAAGCUAGGGGAGCAAACAGG